rnacentral:lncRNA from 1 species
UUUAAUGCAUUUUUAUUUCAUUUAGUUGCAUUUUAAAUUUUUUUGACCUUGUGGACUUCUGUUGGCCUUGGAUCAUGAUGAUUUUAACUUCAAGUCUCAUUAAACUCAAUGGAUCUUGGGUGUUGAUUGGGUGAAAACCCUAAUCCACCAAAAUGGAUGAUUUAUUUCGAUGGUGACUUGAGCAAAUAUAUGAUUCAAUUUGGAGUUGACCUCUCUUGUCCCCUCUCUCCUU